CCUACGGGUGGCAGCAGUGAGGAAUAUUGGUCAAUGGGCGGGAGCCUGAACCAGCCAAGCCGCGUGAGGGAAGAAGGUACAGCGUAUCGUAAACCUCUUUUAAGGGGGAAGAGCAGAAGACGGUACCCCUUGAAUAAGCCACGGCUAACUACGUGCCAGCAGCCGCGGUAAUACGUAGGUGGCAAGCGUUGUCCGGAUUUACUGGGUGUAAAGGGCGUGCAGCCGGAGAGACAAGUCAGAUGUGAAAUCCACGGGCUCAACCCGUGAACUGCAUUUGAAACUGUUUCCCUUGAGUGUCGGAGAGGUAAUCGGAAUUCCUAGUGUAGCGGUGAAAUGCGUAGAUAUUAGGAAGAACACCAGUGGCGAAGGCGGAUUACUGGACGAUAACUGACGGUGAGGCGCGAAAGCGUGGGGAGCAAACAGGAUUAGAUACCCGAGUAGUC
rnacentral:rRNA from 1 species